CUACACAAAAACAACCAUGAAUCUUGGUUGAAGGAUGGAGUAUGGGUCAGAGUCAUGGACUAAAUGUAAAAGAUGGACGGAGCUUCCGGCUCUAAAAGAAGAAGCCGAUGCACUCCCGGAUGAUUGACAGGCAGCAGCUGAGACAGGCCAGAUGAGAGAGAUUCACCCGAGGAAAACAGGAGCUGUGUUUACAUUGUGUUUACUCACUUCUCUCACAUUUACUGUCAUUCUGUCAGUAUCAGUCGCUGGAGAAGGUUUUUACACCGACACGUUUCCUGUUAGUUUGUCUUUAUUAGGGCCCGAGCACCGUGCGAGGACCUCAUUGAUUUAGCUUCGGUGAUUAGUUUUGGGUUCACCGGGUUUAGGCCUGUUCUUUAGUAACAACAGACACGGAGGAGCUGAUGUCUCCAGUUUGUUCGCUUUUGGAAGACCUCAUGUAUGGAGCAGAAUAUUUGGUGCCAUUCUUCAGGAUGUGGAGGAGAGAGACUGGAUAACAACAGACCAACAGAAGAUUGUGUUUGAUUCUCUAUAUUCUCAGAUUCAGUUUGCUGUUUUUAGAGGUGGUAGUAACAUUUUAAAAACAUAACUUGGAAAUGAUUUAUCUAGAAUAAGUAAAUGGAUCAACUUCAGCAGUCACAACGUUCACAGGUACUAUUUUACCAAUGUGACAUGUAGGGUCCUCAAUUGUAAACAGCUGGAACUGUCCAACCUGAAGUUCACCGGGAUUAAUUGUGACUUCUAUAACAAAUGUUUACUGCUGUUAACACUUUAAAAGUAUGUACUAGAUAUACAUGAUUAAGUGUUUACUUAACCUCUGAUAUUUAUGAUUAAAAUGUACAUUUUCCAUUGA